rnacentral:rRNA from 1 species
GGAUGCGAUCAUACCAGCACUAAAGCACCGGAUCCCAUCAGAACUCCGAAGUUAAGCGUGCUUGGGUGAGAGUAAUACUAGGAUGGGUGAUCUCCUGGGAAGUCCUCGUGUUGCAUUCC